rnacentral:rRNA from 1 species
CCUACGGGAGGCAGCAGUGGGGAAUAUUGCACAAUGGGGGAAACCCUGAUGCAGCAACGCCGCGUGAGUGAAGAAGUAUUUCGGUAUGUAAAGCUCUAUCAGCAGGGAAGAAGAAAGACGGUACCUGACUAAGAAGCCCCGGCUAACUACGUUCGAGCAGCCGCGGUAAUACGUGGGGGGCAAGCGUUAUCCGGAUGGACUGGGGGUAAAGGGAGCGUAGACGGCUGUGUAAGUCUGAAGUGAAAGCCCGUGGCUCAACCGCGGAACUGCUUGUGAGACUGUAUAGCGUGAGUACUGGAGAGGCAGGUGGAAUUCCUAGUGUAGCGGUGAAAUGCGUAGAUAUUAGGAGGAACACCAGUGGCGAAGGCGGCCUGCUGGACAGAAACUGACGUUGAGGCUCGAAAGCGUGGGGAGCAAACAGGAUUAGAUACCCGAGUAGUC